rnacentral:SRP_RNA from 1 species
GCUGGGCACGGUGGCAUGUGCCUGUAGUCCCAGCUACUCUGGAGGCCGAGGCUGGAGGAUCACUUGAACCCAGGAGUUCUGGGCUGUAGUGCACUAUGCCGAUCGGGUGUCUGCACUGAGUUCGGCAUCAAUAUGGUGACUUCCUGGAAGUGGGGACCACCAGGUUGCCUAAGGAAGGGUGAACCGGCCCAGGUCAGAAUCGGAGCCCUGCUGAUCAGUAGUGGGAUAGGGCCUGUGAAUAGCCACUGCACUCCAGCCUGGGCAACAUAGCAAGACUCUGUCUCU